rnacentral:lncRNA from 1 species
UUGUAAACAGCUGUUUGUUAGGUGUCUGAUAUGAACAAUGUUGUCAUGAAAAUAAGUGUAUGGUCAAUUAUUUGUUUGUACUUCGUACAUGGAAUACUAUGUUUGUAGAAAUCCCGCAAGCAUACAGGAUCGUUGUACAAGUAAUAAGAUUUGUGAGUUAAGAGUAUCGUUUCCACGAGGAAUAAGAUCUAAGUUGUAGUUCAAUAGUUAUUGUUAAAUUCAAAGUGUGGUGAAAGCAAACCUGUUGUAUAGAGAGAUCAUCCUCCUUGGAAGAUGCCUUAGAAUUGGCUCGAAUAAUAUUCCAUUCAAUGGUAUCUAAUCAAAUAGAAGUCUGACCUGAUUUGCUUGUUGGAAUCUUAUUUUGUCAGAAUCUUUUCGGAGGCCUUGGUGGUCU